CGAGCGAACAGACGAGGAGCUUGCUCCUCUGACGUUAGCGGCGGACGGGUGAGUAACACGUGGAUAACCUACCUAUAAGACUGGGAUAACUUCGGGAAACCGGAGCUAAUACCGGAUAAUAUAUUGAACCGUAUGGUUCAAUAGUGAAAGACGGUUUUGCUGUCACUUAUAGAUGGAUCCGCGCCGCAUUAGCUAGUUGGUAAGGUAACGGCUUACCAAGGCAACGAUGCGUAGCCGACCUGAGAGGGUGAUCGGCCACACUGGAACUGAGACACGGUCCAGACUCCUACGGGAGGCAGCAGUAGGGAAUCUUCCGCAAUGGGCGAAAGCCUGACGGAGCAACGCCGCGUGAGUGAUGAAGGUCUUCGGAUCGUAAAACUCUGUUAUUAGGGAAGAACAAAUGUGUAAGUAACUAUGCACGUCUUGACGGUACCUAAUCAGAAAGCCACGGCUAACUACGUGCCAGCAGCCGCGGUAAUACGUAGGUGGCAAGCGUUAUCCGGAAUUAUUGGGCGUAAAGCGCGCGUAGGCGGUUUUUUAAGUCUGAUGUGAAAGCCCACGGCUCAACCGUGGAGGGUCAUUGGAAACUGGAAAACUUGAGUGCAGAAGAGGAAAGUGGAAUUCCAUGUGUAGCGGUGAAAUGCGCAGAGAUAUGGAGGAACACCAGUGGCGAAGGCGACUUU
rnacentral:rRNA from 1 species